AGUGAACGCUGGCGGUAGGCCUAACACAUGCAAGUCGAACGGCAGCACAGUAAGAGCUUGCUCUUACGGGUGGCGAGUGGCGGACGGGUGAGGAAUACAUCGGAAUCUACUUUUUCGUGGGGGAUAACGUAGGGAAACUUACACUAAUACCGCAUACGACCUACGGGUGAAAGCAGGGGAUCUUCGGACCUUGCGCGAUUGAAUGAGCCGAUGUCGGAUUAGCUAGUUGGCGGGGUAAAGGCCCACCAAGGCGACGAUCCGUAGCUGGUCUGAGAGGAUGAUCAGCCACACUGGAACUGGGACACGGUCCAGACUCCUACGGGAGGCAGCAGUGGGGAAUAUUGGACAAUGGGCGCAAGCCUGAUCCAGCCAUACCGCGUGGGUGAAGAAGGCCUUCGGGUUGUAAAGCCCUUUUGUUGGGAAAGAAAAGCAGCAGGUUAAUACCCCGCUGUUCUGACGGUACCCAAAGAAUAAGCACCGGCUAACUUCGUG
rnacentral:rRNA from 1 species